rnacentral:rRNA from 1 species
UUAUUAAAUUUUAUAAUUAUAAAAAAGAAAAUCUAUAUUAAUUGGUGCAAUAAUGUCAUAGAGACAGAAUAACUGUAAUGAAGCAAUAAAGUUUUUGGUAUCGGUCUAGUUAUAAAAUGAAAAUGAAAUAACAAAAUAUUUAAAUAAAUGAAACAUCUUAUUAUUUAAAAGAAAAGAAAUCAAAAGAGAUUCAAGUAGUAGUGGUGAGCGAUCCUUGAUGAAGUUAAUAAUAAGGAAUGCGGAUCGGUAGUAUUUUAAAGAAUACAUAAAGUCGGGUAGUAAUCCUCCUGCCUUCUUAUAACCUUAUUAGUUAGUUAGACCAGUUAGUAGAUAUUGGUUGAAUACAUUAGUACCACCUGCUAAACUUCAAUACAUUACAAUUAAAUUAUAGUGAAAAGUACUGCGAAGGAAAGAUGAAAGAAAGGUCUUCAAAGCACUGGUUUGAAAUGUAAUGAAUUUUUUAUAAUAAAAAUCAAUUUUUAAUUACAGGAUAAUUAUUUUGUACCUUUUGUAUAAUGGGUUAGCAAGUAAAAUAUUAAUGCAAUUGAACUGAAUUUACAAGAGAUAGCAUAGCCAAUAAUAG